ACGUGCUCCGGGGUCGGUGGGAAUCCGAACCGGCGGUGACAGUCCGCGAGCCGAAGCGCCAGACGCGCCAGGCUGAUCCGGUGGAAUUCCGGGACCGACGGUGAUGUGCGACGAGAGUCGCACGAGUCCGGAUGGGAGGCAGCACGA
rnacentral:ncRNA from 2 species